CACACAUAUAAAUUUGUAAUACCGUUCAUUUGGUAUUAUUUUUGGACAGUAGUUGUAUUUCAUGAUCAAUUGGAAUUAUAUAUACGAAUACACUAAGAAGAGACAAAUAUAUAAAAAUAU
rnacentral:sRNA from 22 species